rnacentral:lncRNA from 1 species
UGGGAGCUAUUUUGGACAGAAGAGACUUGCAAAUAGAUUAGGAGAGUUAAUGAGUGAUAGAAUGGAAGAGAUUUUUAGAGAAAAAGCAAAGAUUUUGGGGAUAUAGACCAUUUGUUUGGAAAAAAGGGUUUGAAGCUAGGGUAAGCUCAAACCGUCCAAAUAAGGAAGAAAGAGAAGAGAGAUUUAAAUCCUAAUGGGCCAAUUUAAAGGAGAAAAUCUGGUAGGAAGAGGGAUUUGGUGGA